UGGGGAAUAUUGCACAAUGGGCGCAAGCCUGAUGCAGCCAUGCCGCGUGUAUGAAGAAGGCCUUCGGGUUGUAAAGUACUUUCAGCGGGGAGGAAGGGAGUAAAGUUAAUACCUUUGCUCAUUGACGUUACCCGCAGAAGAAGCACCGGCUAACUCCGUGCCAGCAGCCGCGGUAAUACGGAGGGUGCAAGCGUUAAUCGGAAUUACUGGGCGUAAAGCGCACGCAGGCGGUUUGUUAAGUCAGAUGUGAAAUCCUCGGGCUCAACCUGGGAACUGCAUCUGAUACUGGCAAGCUGGAGUCUCGUAGAGGGGGGUAGAAUUCCAGGUGUAGCGGUGAAAUGCGUAGAGAUCUGGAGGAAUACCGGUGGCGAAGGCGGCCCCCUGGACGAAGACUGACGCUCAGGUGCGAAAGCGUGGGGAGCAAACAGG
rnacentral:rRNA from 1 species